AUUGAACGCUGGCGGCAGGCCUAACACAUGCAAGUCGAGCGGAUCGGCGGACGGGUGAGUAUUGCCUAGGUAUCUGCCUGGUCGUGGGGGAUAACGUCCACUACCGGACGCUAAUACUACAUACUAUCAGUUGCGCCUGGGUCGGAUUGGCUAGUUGGUGGGGUAAAGGCCUACCAAGGCGACGGCCCGUAACUGGUCUGAGAGGAUGAGCAGUCACACUGGGACUGAGACACGGUCCAGACUCCUACGGGAGGCAGCAGUGGGGAAUAUUGGACAAUGGGCGAAAGCCUGAUCCAGCAAUGCCGCGUGUGUGAAGAAGGUCUUCGGAUUGUAAAGCUCUUUAAUUUGGGAGGCGUUACCUACAGAAUAAGCACCGGCUAACUUCGUGCCAGCAGCCGCGGUAAUAC
rnacentral:rRNA from 1 species